AUUGAACGCUGGCGGCAGGCCUAACACAUGCAAGUCGAGCGGAGCGGCGGACGGGUGAGUAAUACCUAGGAAUCUGCCCGGUCGUGGGGGAUAACGUUCGGAAACGGACGCUAAUACCGCAUACUAUCAGAUGAGCCUAGGUGGGAUUAGCCAGUUGGUGAGGUAAUGGCUCACAAAGGCUACGAUCCGUAACUGGUCAGAGAGGAUUAUCAGUCACACUGGAAGUGGGACACGGUCCAGACUCCUACGGGAGGAAGCAGUGGGGAAUAUUGGACAAUGGGCGAAGGCCGGAUGCAGCCAUGCGGCGUGGGUGAAAAAGGUCUUCGGAUGUUAAAGCACUUUAAGUUGGGAGGCGUUACCGACAGAAUAAGCACCGGCUAACUCUGUGCCAGCAGCCGCGGUAAUAC
rnacentral:rRNA from 1 species